GCCGCGGUAGCUCAGUUGGUAGAGCAGUAGCCUGAAAAGCUAUGUGUCGGCGGUUCAAUUCCGCCCUGCGGCA
rnacentral:tRNA from 3 species